rnacentral:misc_RNA from 1 species
GAUGAAGAACGUAGCGAAAUGCGAUAACUAAUGUGAAUUGCAGAAUUCCGUGAAUCAUCGAGUCUUUGAACGCACAUUGCGCCCCCUGGUAUUCCGGGGGGCAUGCCUGUCCGAGCGUCAUUGCUGCCCAUCAAGCACGGCUUGUGUGUUGGGUCCUCGUCCCCCCCGGGGGACGUGCCCGAAAGGCAGCGGCGGCACCGCGUCCGGUCCUCGAGCGUAUGGGGCUUUGUCACCCGCUCUGCAGGCCCGGCCGGCGCUGGCCGACGCGAAAGCAACCAUUUUUUCUCCAGGUUGACCUCGGAUCAGGUAGGGAUACCCGCUGACCUUAAGCAUAUCAAUAAGCGGAGGA